rnacentral:rRNA from 1 species
GGGCAUCGCAUGGAGAAGUCUGACGGAGCACGCCGCGUGAGUGAUGAAGGUUUUCGGAUCGUAAAGCUCUGUUGUUAGGGAAGAACAAGUGCCGUUCAAAUAGGGCGGCACCUUGACGGUACCUAACCAGAAAGCCACGGCUAACUACGUGCCAGCAGCCGCGGUAAUGAGUAGGUGGCAAGCGUUGUCCGGAAUUAUUGGGCGUAAAGGGCUCGCAGGCGG